AGCAGCCGCGGUAAUUCCAGCUCCAAUAGCGUAUAUUAAAGUUGUUGCAGUUAAAAAGCUCGUAGUUGAAUUUCGGGAUCAAGUCGUCGGUCGUGCUCAGGUACGUACUGGCGUCAUUGAUUUCUCCCUUCUGACGAACCAUGAUGUCAUUAAUUUGGUGUUAUGGGAAAUCAGGACUGUUACUUUGAAAAAAUUAGAGUGUUUAAAGCAGGCUCACGCUUGAAUACAUUAGCAUGGAAUAAUGAAAUAGGACGUUCGAUCCUAUUUUGUUGGUUUUAGGAUCAACGUAAUGAUUAAUAGGGAUAGUUGGGGGCAUUAGUAUUCAAUUGUCAGAGGUGAAAUUCUUGGAUUUAUUGAAGACUAACUACUGCGAAAGCAUUUGCCAAGGAUGUUUUCAUUAAUCAAGAACGAAAGUUAGGGGAUCGAAGACGAUCAGAUACCGUCGUAGUCUUAACCAUAAACUAUGCCGACUAGGGAUCGGAUGAUGUUAAUUUUUUAAUGACUCA
rnacentral:rRNA from 1 species